GGAGGUUCUCGGGUGAUUCACCCUGGAAUCGGGCUCUCUCCUGUCUGGUUCUGGGUGCGUCAUCUGAGAACUGCA
rfam:Myotis brandtii contig274355, whole genome shotgun sequence.